rnacentral:rRNA from 1 species
UACGGGGGGGGCAAGCGUUGUUCGGAAUUACUGGGCGUAAAGGGCUCGUAGGUGGCCAACUAAGUCAGACGUGAAAUCCCCCGGCUUAACCGGGGAACUGCGUCUGAUACUGGAUGGCUUGAGUUUGGGAGAGGGACGCGGAAUUCCAGGUGUAGCGGUGAAAUGCGUAGAUAUCUGGAGGAACACCGGUGGCGAAGGCGGCGUCCUGGACCAACACUGACACUGAGGAGCGAAAGCCAGGGGAGCAAACGGG